rnacentral:rRNA from 1 species
GUGGGGAAUAUUGGACAAUGGGCGCAAGCCUGAUCCAGCCAUGCCGCGUGAGUGAUGAAGGCCUUAGGGUUGUAAAGCUCUUUCACCGAUGAAGAUAAUGACGGUAGUCGGAGAAGAAGCCCCGGCUAACUUCGUGCCAGCAGCCGCGGUAAUACGAAGGGGGCUAGCGUUGUUCGGAUUUACUGGGCGUAAAGCGCACGUAGGCGGUUUGUUAAGUCAGAGGUGAAAUCCCGGAGCUCAACUCCGGAACUGCCUUUGAUACUGGCAAGCUAGAGUCCGGAAGAGGUAAGUGGAACUCCUAGUGGAGAGGUGGAAUUCGUAGAUAUUAGGAAGAACACCAGUGGCGAAGGCGGCUUACUGGUCCGGAACUGACGCUGAGGUGCGAAAGCGUGGGGAGCAAACAGGAUUAGAAACCCCGGUAGUCC